UCCAUUGGGAGAAAAGGUAGUGUUUCACUU
rnacentral:piRNA from 1 species